rnacentral:rRNA from 1 species
UACGUAGGGGGCUAGCGUUAUCCGGAAUUACUGGGCGUAAAGGGUGCGUAGGCGGUCUUUCAAGCCAGAAGUGAAAGGCUACGCUCAACCGUAGUAAGCUUUUGGAACUGUAAGACUUGAGUGCAGGAGAGGAGAGUGGAAUUCCUAGUGUAGCGGUGAAAUGCGUAGAUAUUACACAGAACACCGAUUGCGAAGGCAGCUUGCUGGGUCAUUACUGACGCUGAUGCACGAAAGCGUGGGGAUCAAACAGGAUUAGAUACCCGCGUA